AUAGGUGGCAAGCGUUAUCCGGAUUUAUUGGGCGUAAAGCGUGCGUAGACGGUUUUGCAAGUCUGAGGUUAAAUUUAGGGGCUCAACCCCUAACCGCCUUGGAAACUACAUUACUAGAGUAUAGGAGAGGUUAGUGGAAUCUCAUGUGUAGCGGUGGAAUGCGUAGAUAUAUGAAGGAACACCAGUGGCGAAGGCGGCUAACUGGCCUAUUACUGACGUUGUGGCACGAAAGCGUGGGAGCAAAUAGGAUUAGAUACCCCUAGUAGUCCACGCCGUAAACGAUGAGUACUAAGUGUUGCCAUGAGGGCAGUGCUGUAGCUAACGCAUUAAGUACUCCGCCUGAGUAGUAUGCUCGCAAGAGUG
rnacentral:rRNA from 1 species